CACAAUAUGAAAGCGGGCUGGGACCUUACUUCGGUGAGGGCUCCAGCUUGUCUGAAUUAUUCACCCAUGUCUUUUGCGCACUUCUUGUUUCCUGGGCGGGUUCGCCCGCCACCAGGACCAAACCAUAAACCUUUUUGUAAUUGCAAUCAGCGUCAGUAAACAAUGUAAUUAUUACAACUUUCAACAACGGAUCUCUUGGUUCUGGCAUCGAUGAAGAACGCAGCGAAAUGCGAUACGUAGUGUGAAUUGCAGAAUUCAGUGAAUCAUCGAAUCUUUGAACGCACAUUGCGCCCUUUGGUAUUCCAAAGGGCAUGCCUGUUCGAGCGUCAUUUGUACCCUCAAGCUUUGCUUGGUGUUGGGCGUCUUGUCUCUCACGAGACUCGCCUUAAAAUCAUUGGCAGCCGACCUACUGGUUUCGGAGCGCAGCACAAUUCUUGCACUUUGAAUCAGCCUUGGUUGAGCAUCCAUCAAGACCCUAUUUUUUUUAACU
rnacentral:misc_RNA from 1 species